UCAAUUAUCGUCUCCACGCCCCACAAACUCGAAAAGAAAAUAAUUGAAGAGUUAUUUAAUAUUUAUUUACAGACAUAUCACCCCACGUUUAAUUAAAGCUACAUUAUAUUUAUGUUGUUUUGCUAGUACUUGCUAUUUCUCAACCGUUGGAUCCACUUUAUAUAUAAAAAAUGAUCAUUAUCUUAUGGAGUCGUCGUUUAGGAAUCAGGCAACGUUCAAUGUUUCCGAAAUAUUUUACAAAAUAUCUUUUGUGAUAAGCAAAUUGUGAUAACCUUGCGCACGAAUCAUAUCACAUUUUGACAAAGUUAUACUAAUUGUGGCAGCUGUGGUAACCUCGCCUACAAUAAUAAUAAUUCACUGAUAUAGACAUUUCCCUAUCAAUAUUCAGUACCAUUAUCACAAACAUACAAAUGGCAAGUGGCAAUAAGCU
rnacentral:lncRNA from 1 species